rnacentral:pre_miRNA from 15 species
UACAACACAGGAUCAAAGUGGCAGACUGGGAAAUCUCUGCAGGCAAAUGUGACGUUGCUGCCGAAAUCACACACUUGCCCGUAGAGAUGCUGCAGUCUGACCUCUUCGCGCAGCAGAGCUGU